rnacentral:lncRNA from 1 species
UGUUGUCAAAUCAAAAUUUGACAUUCUUUUUAUAUACCUGGCUGGCUCAAUGUCCCCAUAGCAAAUAAUGGCAAAAAUACAAAAAACUAAAAUAUUAUUAACUUAAUAAAAUCAUCCACUACAUAAUCAUUUAUUAUCUUUACAAUUAACCAUCUAAAGCUACCACAGUUCUUCAAUCGAAGUAUAUAUCUACAUAUAUAGAGAGAGUACACUUCAUAAUUUCGUCCCUUGUCUUCCGUAAACGUAGUAUGAAAAUUUGAUACCCAGUAUUCUAAGGCAGGUCGUAGAAGUAGUCUUCCUACACAUAUUUAAAAAUAAUAAGUCAGAAAAAUGAAGCAAAUAAGUCACCAGAGGCACUUAGUGCCAAAAUCAAUACACAAAGACAAUAGAGUUGUUACAUGGUACAAAUGUACACCGUUUUGCUCAAAAAUAGAAAAAGACAAAUAGACAAUCACAAUAUCAUUUUAUAAACACAUUACUUGCCUGGACUAUUAUAGAACUACCACUCACUUCCAUUUCAGGUCCCCCACUCAAUUGGUUUCUCGCUCAUUUCUAUCACCAGGAAAAAAAGACCAGCACAAUCCCAUCAACACAAGUCACAAACCUUUUGGCACAUUUUAAAGAGAAGAGUAAUUACUAAUUAGUAUUAACCAAUAGAAACACUUGUACUACAAUAAAUUGCACAAAUCAAAACGUGAAAGAAAACAACAACAAAGAUUUGAAUUUCAGAUGAUUUUCAUCAGCCUGAGCCAGAGAUGGUUAUGAUCACAUGCUGCAAACUUCUAGUGGUACAAAUCACUACUUCAAAUGCUUAAGGUAAAGACACCUGAGAGUGACCUACAUAUAUUGUAGAAAAUAUAGAGCCAGAAAAUAACUCACUUCUCAAAAUUAAGAAUUUCAUUCCUCAGAUCCUGAGCCCUUGAUUCUCUAACAGAAAUUUUUGUUACACUUCUCGCAACAUCCUGCCAAGGUCAAUCCAUCAGUGUCUUGAUAUUCCUUAGCAGUGAACACAACAGCUUGCGCCUUAGAUUUUAAUUGCUUUACAAAAUACCUAUCUUUAAUAUGGCAAUAUUGAAGGCGAAAGGGGACCAGUUAAAUAAGGAGAAGAAAUCAUUGUCAAAAGUUAUGAUGAUCAAGAUGCCUUUCACCAGGACUUGGACUUGCACUGGCAUAUUACCAUCAACAGCUAUUAAUAAGUUCUCCAAGACUCUGCUACUCUCAACUCAAAAUUUUUACUGUCCACACUCCACAACAUCCACACUCCACAACAUUCAAAGGAACAAAAAGGACAAUAAAACAUUCAAACACUAUGCGGAUACAUAUAUACCAAUAAUUGAGUAGGGGUGAUACUAUUGACACUAAACUAGUAUUUCUGUCUAGAAAAAGAAGAUAAAUUUUCACAUAAUCAGGAGAAAGAAAACUGAGAACCUAAAACACAGUUUGUAGAGGCUCAUCAGCAUCACCCUUUGUCAAACCUGAAAGGAUAAUAUUCUAAAUAAGUUUAAUUUGAAGACACUGAAAGGUCUUUAAGGUUCUCCAUCAGCCACAGGAUACAAUACAAACCAAAACUAAUAACAUUUACCUCAGAUCUAUAUCGUAAAGACUCUACAGCAUUCUCCGUGGGAAAAUGAAAUUUAGCAAUAGAAUUUGAGUCCGGGCCAUUUUCCCUCAACAUAGCUUCAAUUUAAUCGAAAACAUUCUCCUCUUCUAGAGAAACCUGUUUAAAAACAAUUAAUCAAAAAUACCAAUAUGGCAAGAAAACAUAUUACAAGAUUAAAAUCAUGUCAACAUCAUUAUGAUCAUCUAGCCUACUUAUAUAAGUGGAUUCAGUUGCAUACUACAAUAAAUCACACAAAUCAAAACGUGAAAGAAAACAACAACAAAGAUUUGAAUUUCAGAUGAUUUCAAAAUGUUCUAUCAGUUCAUUCAAAUAAUCAUGCAAAUUCAGCUAAAAUUAAAAAAAAAAAGGAGUAUGACUCGGAAAGAAAUGCGAAAAGUAAUUUACCGUUAGGGUCUCCUUCAUGGUGAUCGGAGCGUUAGCGGCCGCCAUGGUGGGGAGAUAAAAAGGUUGAGAUCAGGAGUCCGAUCUGCGAGUGAGAUGUGAUGAUGAAUCGUCAAUUGAGAUUCCACUGAAGUGGCUACGAGAUCUGACAAACCCUCGCACCUUAUUGGAGAGAGAUAGUGAGAGAUCUAGAGAGAGAGUAUGAUGGUGGGUAUUCUAAUAUGAGGAUUAAUAUAUGAAGGGAGAAAUGGAAUUGAGGAGGAGAUCAACCAAAUAAAGAGGAUAGAGAUUGGGGGGCUUCUAUAGAGAAUAGAGAGAGUAGUACAAACAUGUUUUAUUAUUUAAAAAAAUUCGUAAAAAGAAAAAAUUUG